rnacentral:rRNA from 1 species
AAAUUGAAGAGUUUGAUCAUGGCUCAGAUUGAACGCUGGCGGCAGGCCUAACACAUGCAAGUCGAGCGGUAACAGAAAGAAAGCUUGCUUUCUUUGCUGACGAGCGGCGGACGGGUGAGUAAUGCCUAGGAAAUUGCCCUGAUGUGGGGGAUAACCAUUGGAAACGAUGGCUAAUACCGCAUAAUCUCUUCGGAGCAAAGAGGGGGACCUUCGGGCCUCUCGCGUCAGGAUAUGCCUAGGUGGGAUUAGCUAGUUGGUGAGGUAAUGGCUCACCAAGGCGACGAUCCCUAGCUGGUCUGAGAGGAUGAUCAGCCACACUGGAACUGAGACACGGUCCAGACUCCUACGGGAGGCAGCAGUGGGGAAUAUUGCACAAUGGGCGCAAGCCUGAUGCAGCCAUGCCGCGUGUAUGAAGAAGGCCUUCGGGUUGUAAAGUACUUUCAGUCGUGAGGAAGGCAUCAACGUUAAUAGCGUUGGUGUUUGACGUUAGCGACAGAAGAAGCACCGGCUAACUCCGUGCCAGCAGCCGCGGUAAUACGGAGGGUGCGAGCGUUAAUCGGAAUUACUGGGCGUAAAGCGCAUGCAGGUGGUUCGUUAAGUCAGAUGUGAAAGCCCGGGGCUCAACCUCGGAAUUGCAUUUGAAACUGGCGGACUAGAGUACUGUAGAGGGGGGUAGAAUUUCAGGUGUAGCGGUGAAAUGCGUAGAGAUCUGAAGGAAUACCGGUGGCGAAGGCGGCCCCCUGGACAGAUACUGACACUCAGAUGCGAAAGCGUGGGGAGCAAACAGGAUUAGAUACCCUGGUAGUCCACGCCGUAAACGAUGUCUACUUGGAGGUUGUGGCCUUGAGCCGUGGCUUUCGGAGCUAACGCGUUAAGUAGACCGCCUGGGGAGUACGGUCGCAAGAUUAAAACUCAAAUGAAUUGACGGGGGCCCGCACAAGCGGUGGAGCAUGUGGUUUAAUUCGAUGCAACGCGAAGAACCUUACCUACUCUUGACAUCCAGAGAAGCCAG